ensembl:snRNA U1 U1 spliceosomal RNA
CUACUUACCUGGCAGGGGGGACACCAUGAACAGUCAGGUGGUUUUCCCAGGGCAAGGCUCAUCCCCUGCUCUCUGGGUGUGCUGGUUUUUAUAUUGGGGUUUUUUGCAGUUGGGCUAGAUGAUCUUUGUAGGUCCAACUGAACUGCUUCUAUUCUAUUC